rnacentral:rRNA from 1 species
UUUACGGUUAGCUGGUCUGAGAGGAUGGCCAGCCGCACUGGGACUGAGAUACUGCCCAGACUCCUACGGGAGGCUGCAGUCGAGGAUCAUUUGCAAUGGGCGAAAGCCUGACAAUGCGACGCUGCGUGGAGGAUGAAGGCCUUCGGGUUGUAAACUCCUGUCAUGGGGGAACAGGCGAGGGGACCCAACACGUCCCUUAGUUGAGUGUACCCCAAGAGGAAGCGACGGCUAACUCUGUGCCAGCAGCCGCGGUAAUACAGAGGUCGCGAGCGUUGUUCGGAUUUACUGGGCGUAAAGGGCGCGUAGGCGGCGGAGCGUGUCGGAUGUGAAAUCCCCGGGCCCAACCCGGGAAGUGCGUCCGAAACUGCCCCGCUGGAGGACGGAAGAGGGAAUCGGAAUAUAGGGUGUAGCGGUGAAAUGCGUUGAUAUCCUAUAGAACACCGGAUGCGAAGGCGGAUUCCUGGUACGUAUCUGACGCUGAGGCGCGAAAGUCGGGGGAGCAAACAGGAUUAGAUACCCUGGUAGUCCCGACCUUAAACGGUGCACGCUCGGGGUGGGGGGACUUCAACCCCCCCGUCCCUCAGCUAACGCGUUAAGCGUGCCGCCUGGGGAGUACGGCCGCAAGGUUAAAACUCAAAGAAAUUGACGGGGGCCCGCACAAGCAGAGGAGCAUGUGGCCUAAUUCGAUGCAACGCGAAGAACCUUACCUGGGCUUGACAUGGAGCUGCGCGGUCCGUGAAAGCGGACCUCCUUCGAGGGUGCUCCACAGGUGCUGCAUGGCUGUCGUCAGUUCGUGCCGUGAGGUGUUUGGUUAGGUCCACCAACGAACGCAACCCCCUUGGCCAGUUGCCAGCGGACGAUGCCGGGAACUCUGGCCACACUGCCCGUUCACGCGGGAGGAAGGUGGGGACGACGUCAAGUCAGUAUGGCCCUUACGCCCAGGGCCGCACACGUGCUACAAUGGCCGGUACAGAGGGACGCGAAGCCGCGAGGCGGAGCCAACCCCCCAGAGCCGGCCCCCCUUCGGAUCGGGGUCUGCAACCCGACCCCGUGAAGUCGGAUUUGCUAGUAACGGCGCAUCAGCUACGGCGCCGUGAAUGCGUUCCCGGGCCUUGUACACACCGCCCGUCACAUCAUGAAAGCCGUCUGCACCCGAAGUCCGGCGUUUGUCGGCCUAAGGUGUGGGUGGUGAUUGGGAUGAAGUCGAAACAAGGUA